UACAGAGGGUGCGAGCGUUAAUCGGAGUUACUGGGCGUAAAGGGCGCGUAGGCGGUGAGAUGUGUGGGAUGUGAAAUCCCCGGGCUUAACCUGGGAAGUGCAUACCAAACUAUCUGACUGGAGUAUAAGAGAGGGUGGCGGAAUUUCCGGUGUAGCGGUGAAAUGCGUAGAGAUCGGAAGGAACGUCAAUGGCGAAGGCAGCCACCUGGCUUAAUACUGACGCUGAGGCGCGAAAGCGUGGGGAGCGAAC
rnacentral:rRNA from 1 species